UCUGAAAGUAAUUGUAUUUUCUUUUCCUUUUUAGAUGAUGUAAAGAGAGAAUGAGAAUCCAAAGGCUGAAAUCCCCAAACUCAAGCAGUGCCCGGAACUUAAGCCAGCUUGAGUCAUGAUGAUGUAAAGAGAGAAUGAGAAUCUAAAGGCUGAAAUCACCCAGCUAACAACUACAGGCCAGCCAGGAUUAAAACAUAAAUAAAACAACAACUUUUAUUUAUAAGACUGAAUUAUUUUUAAACUCCUAAACUGCGGUUAAACAGGGAAGGUUUCAAAGGAUCAGAAGAAGCUGAACUGCCUCUCUGCUGCCUCCUCUCAGCAGCCCCCAAAGCCCCUCUCCUUUUCCCUCCCUCCAACCGAUGCUCACUCCCAUUGGCCCAGAAUUCUGCCCAUUCUCAUUGGCUGUCUCGCAGGAGCUGGAGCCAGUCCUGUCCAUCACCGUUUUUGCAAGAUAUUGCCCUUUAAGCUCCAGAGUAUUGACUGACAAAGAGAUUUGACUAAUAAAUGAAACUCGGAUGUACCAUGCAUUGAGACAAGCUGACAAGACCA